rnacentral:rRNA from 1 species
UACGUAGGGUGCAAGCGUUGUCCGGAAUUAUUGGGCGUAAAGGGCUCGUAGGCGGUCUGUUGCGUCAGGAGUGAAAACUCGGGGCUUAACCCCGAGCCUGCUUCUGAUACGGGCAGACUAGAGGUAUGCAGGGGAGAACGGAAUUCCUGGUGUAGCGGUGAAAUGCGCAGAUAUCAGGAGGAACACCGGUGGCGAAGGCGGGUCUCUGGGCAGUAACUGACGCUGAGGAGCGAAAGCGUGGGGAGCGAACAGGAUUGAGAAAC